AACGAACGCUGGCGGCAUGCCUAACACAUGCAAGUCGAACGAGACCUUCGGGUCUAGUGGCGCACGGGUGCGUAACGCGCGGGAACCUGCCCCUAGGUUCGGAAUAACUCCCCGAAAGGGGUGCUAAUACCGGAUAAUGUCUUCGGACCAAAGAUUUAUCGCCGUUGGAUGGGGCCGCGUUGGAUUAGCUAGUUGGUAGGGUAAAAGCCUACCAAGGCGACGAGCCAUAGCUGGUCUGAGAGGAUGAUCAGCCACACUGGGACUGAGACGCGGCCCAGACUCCUACAGGAGGCAGCAGUGGGGAAUAUUGGACAAUGGGCGAAAGCCUGAUCCAGCAAUGCCGAGUGAGAGAUGAAGGCCUUAGGGUUGUAAAGCUCUUUUACCCGGGAUGAUAAUGACAGUACCGGGAGAAUAAGCGCCGGCUAACUCCGUG
rnacentral:rRNA from 1 species